rnacentral:rRNA from 1 species
CAUGCACCGAAGCUGCGGCAGCGAACGUAUCACUUAAAGCGAUUCAGCGGGUUACGAUUGACGGAGCGAAGCGACGUCAAAGCGUAUACAAAGUCGAGUCGGUUUAAGGAUACGUUCGUUGGGUAGGGGAGCGUUCUGUAAGCCUGUGAAGGUGGCCUGUGAGGGUUGCUGGAGGUAUCAGAAGUGCGAAUGCUGACAUAAGUAACGAUAAAGCGGGUGAAAAGCCCGCUCGCCGGAAGACCAAGGGUUCCUGUCCAACGUUAAUCGGGGCAGGGUGAGUCGACCCCUAAGGCGAGGCCGAAAGGCGUAGUCGAUGGGAAACAGGUUAAUAUUCCCGUACUUGGUGUUACUGCGAAGGGGGGACGGAGAAGGCUAUGUUGGCCGGGCGACGGUUGUCCCGGUUUAAGCGUGUAGGUGUGUGUUCCAGGUAAAUCCGGUUCACUUUAACACUGAGGCGUGAUGACGAGGCACUACGGUGCUGAAGCAACAAAUGCCCUGCUUCCAGGAAAAGCCUCUAAGCAUCAGGUAACAUCAAAUCGUACCCCAAACCGACACAGGUGGUCAGGUAGAGAAUACCAAGGCGCUUGAGAGAACUCGGGUGAAGGAACUAGGCAAAAUGGUGCCGUAACUUCGGGAGAAGGCACGCUGACACGUAGGUGAAGUGAUUUACUCAUGGAGCUGAAGUCAGUCGAAGAUACCAGCUGGCUGCAACUGUUUAUUAAAAACACAGCACUGUGCAAACACGAAAGUGGACGUAUACGGUGUGACGCCUGCCCGGUGCCGGAAGGUUAAUUGAUGGGGUCAGCGCAAGCGAAGCUCCUGAUCGAAGCCCCGGUAAACGGCGGCCGUAACUAUAACGGUCCUAAGGUAGCGAAAUUCCUUGUCGGGUAAGUUCCGACCUGCACGAAUGGCGUAAUGAUGGCCAGGCUGUCUCCACCCGAGACUCAGUGAAAUUGAACUCGCUGUGAAGAUGCAGUGUACCCGCGGCAAGACGGAAAGACCCCGUGAACCUUUACUAUAGCUUGACACUGAACAUUGAGCCUUGAUGUGUAGGAUAGGUGGGAGGCUUUGAAGCGUGGACGCCAGUCUGCGUGGAGCCGACCUUGAAAUACCACCCUUUAAUGUUUGAUGUUCUAACGUGGACCCGUAAUCCGGGUUGCGGACAGUGUCUGGUGGGUAGUUUGACUGGGGCGGUCUCCUCCUAAAGAGUAACGGAGGAGCACGAAGGUUGGCUAAUCCUGGUCGGACAUCAGGAGGUUAGUGCAAUGGCAUAAGCCAGCUUGACUGCGAGCGUGACGGCGCGAGCAGGUGCGAAAGCAGGUCAUAGUGAUCCGGUGGUUCUGAAUGGAAGGGCCAUCGCUCAACGGAUAAAAGGUACUCCGGGGAUAACAGGCUGAUACCGCCCAAGAGUUCAUAUCGACGGCGGUGUUUGGCACCUCGAUGUCGGCUCAUCACAUCCUGGGGCUGAAGUAGGUCCCAAGGGUAUGGCUGUUCGCCAUUUAAAGUGGUACGCGAGCUGGGUUUAGAACGUCGUGAGACAGUUCGGUCCCUAUCUGCCGUGGGCGCUGGAGAACUGAGGGGGGCUGCUCCUAGUACGAGAGGACCGGAGUGGACGCAUCACUGGUGUUCGGGUUGUCAUGCCAAUGGCACUGCCCGGUAGCUAAAUGCGGAAGAGAUAAGUGCUGAAAGCAUCUAAGCACGAAACUUGCCCCGAGAUGAGUUCUCCCUGAGACUUAGAGUCUCCUGAAGGAACGUUGAAGACGACGACGUUGAUAGGCCGGGUGUGUAAGCGCAGCGAUGCGUUGAGCUAACCGGUACUAAUGAACCGUGAGGCUUAACCUU